rnacentral:lncRNA from 1 species
GAUCCAUCUCUCCAGGCAGCGGCGAGGAGUUCGCGGCCCUCCCCGCCCCCUACCCUUGGCCGCGGCCCCUGCCCUUGCUGCCCGCGCACGCCUCCCGCAGCCUCUGGCCCCCCAUCUGAAGGACCCCGCUGAGAGUCCCGUCGACUUCUCAAAGUAAAAUGUGUCUGGCGCUGGGAAGCCGCGGAGCGCCCGGCCGGGACUACUUUCCGCUGCGCGGAGGAGUACGGGCGCGCUAAGACUCCAUACAAAGAGGAAACUAAUUGGGGGAAACUCGCUGCGCCCCCGCCUUUCCCAGGGGACGGUCCCCGUGGGUCCCCGGGGCACAGAGUCCCGGCGUGGGGACGCCCAAGCCGCCUGGGUGGCCGCUGAAAGAUGAAUGAAGGGGCCCAGUCGUCCUGGGGCGGGGGUCCAGGAAGGGUAAAGAGGAAGAAGCUAUUUUCAUCCCAAGCUCUCGGCACGGGAGGAGGGUCAACUUCUUUCGGGGCGAGGGCAGCCACUUUUCCGGACCUGCCGCCCGCCCCGCCUCCCUACUCCCCCCGGCACCCCCACGAGGGAGAACACGGGGUGCGGGCGGGUGGGGUAGGCUGAGGCUAGCCUGAGAGCCGCUGCCUUGGAGAGGGACCACCGGGCAGCCGUACAGCUGUUAGGAGGCUGAGGAGUGUAACUGCCUUGGAGGUCCCGGUGCCCUACCCCCAGCCAACCCUGAAACUACGCGCCCUUCGUAAUUAGACCAGUGGAGGUCUAUACGGAAAAUCUUUUUAAAGCAGGGAAGGCUAUUUUUCUUUUAAGUUACUUCAAACCUGAGCUUAAUUUGGGGACUAGCUCUGGAUAUAAAUAGCUACAGGGAGAAUUUGGGAGUUUUAUGGUUUUAAAGCCUGAGUAAAUAAGCAGGGUUUUGUCUUGAACAUUUUCUGCAGCAUGAACCAUUAUUAACUUUAUUGAAGAGACCACGUUCACUUCUGCCUAAAUGGCCUUUAAGAAACAGGGCUGGGAGCCCUCCUGGUAUAGAAGCCCUUCCCCCACCAAGUUCAGGUGGGGGACUUAGACUUUUAGACUCUCCUCAAAAGUACGUCCCUCUCCUUGGAGUGCCCUGGAUGCUGCAGGUGUGUGCCCCAAUACACCCUGUCAGCUGGCCUGGGCAGGGUACAGAACCGGGGUGGCAUUCCCGGGGCUGGGCCACCGGCUAAGGCCUCUGACUCAUCCGGAGGUGAGCCCUGUGUGAGGAAUGAGGUCCAGAACACGCUGCCCCGCUCGCUUGGUGUCUACAAAGUUCUGCCACGAGACUAGAAGGAUCAACCUACAAGGGCACAAAGGUGAUACUGGGUCAUUAAGGCAAUAGGGAUAGCAGAGCACACAAGGCCGCCCUCUCCACCCACCAGCCCCCAAGGCUGAGGCCAGGCUGGGCUACCAGUAGGGGCGCAGCAGUGGACUUGACAAGCAUUCUUUUUUUUUUUUUUCCAACGAAUAUUAACACUUAAUAUGUGCCGGGCCCUGUUCUAUUUUGUCUGACCCUAAUGCUACACCGAUACUGUAUUGGCCUGAAGCUCUCAGAUUUACCAACCGUAAAAUACAGGAAACAGUACCUACCUCCUGGCCUGAUGGACUGUAAUAGAGUCCAUCCUUCCAGCAUAGGGAACCCCAACGUUAAGGACACUCGCCUUCCCAUCGCUUGGGGAGAGGGCUCCACACACAGCCCUGGGAUUGGGAAUUUGUGAUCCCACACUUCUAACGCAUCCACAAAGCCGGCAGCCCUAUCAUGUUUUUCGGUGAGACUCCCACUCUGAAAGUGAGACCUCAUGCCUGCUCCCCUCUCCUUACACCUCCCACAGCCCCUUCUGCCUGGGCUCCUAGCCCGUGGCCUUACCUCAUUCUUCAGAGAAAAACGAAAGCCUUCAGGAUCUUUCUCCUCUCCCAGUACCCAAACAGACAAACUUCCCUGUCGGGUACUCACGUCCUCCUCAGGCCUAGGACCCCAUCCCGCUGCCCUCCCCUCGAGGCUUUUCUGUGCCAUCAGCCUCACUCUGGACCGACUCCUGCCCCCAAACCCUCUCCUGCCUCUGGCCAUUUCUCCCUCCCUUCAGACAUUUCUGUAGACUUCCCUACACUCACCUCCUCCACCCCUUCCCGUCCCAGCCUCUCAUCACCCCAUCCAGCAGGGCUGUGUCCCCACCCCUUAACUGCUGCUAAGGUAACCUACAACCUCUCCGCUGCCCAAUCCGGGGGUCACUUCUUGGUCUCGCUGAGCUUCUCAGCAGCAGCUGAGUCGACCACUCCUCCUCCUGGAAACCCUCACUUAUCUGGACCUGGGGAUUCCAGUUCACCUGGUCCUGCUACCUCACAGGUCACUCCCCAUCAGUCUCCUCUGCAGCUUUCAACCUGUCAUCGUUGGGAUUCCUCCUUGCCUUUUUCCUUUCAUUAAUUUUUUUUUUAUCCAGAGUCUCACUCUGUCGCCCAGGCUGGAGUCCAGUGGCACGAUCUGGGCUCACUGCAACCUCUGCCUCAGCCUCCCGAGUAGCUAAGAUUACAGGCACCCGCCACUACACCCGGCUAAUUUUUGUAUUUUUAGUAGAGACGGGGUUUCACCAUAUUGGCCAGGCUGGUCUUGAACUCCUGGCCUCGUGAUCCGCCCGCCUCGGACUUCCAAAGUGCUGGGAUUACAGGCUUGAGCCAUGGCGCCCGGUGACAUAGCGAGAUCCCGUCUGUAUAAAACAAAAACAAAAAAAAAAACUGUGACCCUAUGACCAUCUCGUCCCCCCACCCUAAAAAAAAACAAAAACUAUGACCAUGACCAUCUCAUACCCCACCCUUAUAGAUGAGAAAGCUGAGGCACCCAGAAGUGAAAUAUCUUCCUAGGAUCAGGCAUGAUAUGAGGGGAGGAGCCGGGGCACAGCUAAGCCAGGAGCUAUGGAGCCUCUUAACCAAGGCCAGAGUUGCCCCAGGGAUUCUGGGACGGCCAGGGGCAAGGGUGUCUGCAACAUGCUUGGUCUGAUGCUAAACAUACAGUGUUUAUAAUUUUGUAUUCAUUGUAUUUUCCCAGAAAAAGGGAAGGGAAAAGAGUCAGCAUGUGUUAUAAAAUGAUUAGAAAAUGGGAAAGGAAGUACCUGGUACAGCAAAAUCAACCAUCAAAUGAACAUACCCCAGUGAUGGAGUCAUCAAAGCCCAAAGGGGCUCCGUCUCCUUCAGUUCAGGAAUGAAGGGAAGGGAUCAGGAAAAGGAGAGACGGGUACAGGCUUUCCUACCCCAGUGUUUAUAGUUCUUCCUGCUGCUAAUUAUUAUUAUUACUAUAUUUGGGCUUGUUAGAAAAUUCUGUUUGGCAAGGAAUUCCUUUCCCAAGAAUGGAGCCAGGCAGAGGGCAGGGUAUGGGCCAGGGCUGGGAAGUGUCAGGAAAACACCCUAAAGCCAUUCCUGGGAGGUUUCAAGCCCCCAAAGGACUAUUGGAAAACUGAGACUUCAGGCUGGAAUUUUAGCCAUCCUAAGAGUUCUGAACCUGGAAUCCAUGGAUAGAAUUCUGGAGACCAUGAACCAGAGCUGGUAAAUACAUCUUUAUUUAAAUUAACCUUUAACACCAAGUGCGGUGGCACUCACUUAUAAUCCCAGGUACUUUGAGGCCUCCAGCAAGACCCCUGUCUCAAAAAAAAAAUCAACCUUUAACCAAAAUCCAGCAUUUUCUUCACUUAUGAAUGUAGGUGAUAUUCCAUCUCAACACAUUGCAGUCACUGGAAAUAUCUCAAAAUAGCAUUUAUUUAUUUAUUUUAUUUUUAUUUUAUUUUUUGAGACAGAGUCUUGUUCUGUCGCCCAGGCUGGAGUGCAGUGGCAUGAUCUCAGCUCAGUGCAACCUCCCGGGUUCCAACUAUUUUCCUCCCUCAGGCUCUGAGUAGCUGGGAUCACAGGCACCCACCACCACGCCCAGCUAAUUUUUGUGUUUUUAGUAGAGAUGGGGUUUCACCAUGUUGGCCAGACUGGUGUCGAACUCCUGACGUCGUGAUCCGCCCACCUUGGCCUCCCAAAGUGCUGGGAUUACAGGCAUGAGCCACCGCGCCCAGCCUCAAAAUAGCACGUAUACUCGUCUCCAAAAUCACAGAAGUUAUUAGACCCACUGCUAGAACUUGUUACUUAAUAUGUUAAUAACUAAGCAAGUAAAUCGUAGACCUAAUUGUAAGACCUAAUUGUAAAACUAUAAAACUGUCAGAUGAAAACCUAAAUCUCUGUGACCAUGAGGUAGGCAAAGUCUUCUUGAUUACGAUGCCAAAAGGAUAAGGAACAAAAGAGAAAAAUUGGAAUUCAUAAAAAUUAAAACUUGUGUGGGUGAGCAUGGUGGCUUACGCCUGUAAUCCCAGCACUUUGGGAGGCUGAAGCGGAUGGAUCACCUGAGGUCGGGAGUUCGAGACCAGCCUAACCAACAUGGAGAAACCGCGUCUCUCCUACAGAUAAAAAUUUUGCUGCAGAUGGUGGCAGGCUCCUGUAAUCCCAGCUACUCGGGAGGCUGAGGCAGGAGAAUCACAUGAAUACAGGAGGCGGAGGUUGCAGUGAGCAGAGAUUGCGCCAUUGCACUCCAGCCUGGGCAACGAGCAAAAACUCCGUCUCAAAAAAACAAACAAAAAAAAGAUUAGCUGUGGCUGGAUGCGGUGGCUUACGCCUGUAAUCCCAGCACUUUGGGAGGCCAAAGCGGGCAGAUCACGAGGUCAGAAGAUCAAGGCCAUCCUGGCCAACAUGGUGAACCCCAUCUCUACUAACAAUACAAAAAUUAGCUGGGUAUGGUGGUGCAUUCCUGUAAUCCCAGCUAUGGGGUGGCUGAGGCAGGAUAAUCUCUUGAACCAGGUAGUCGGAAGUUGCAGUGAGCGGAGAUCACGCCACAGCACUCUAGCCUGGCAACAGAGUGAGACUCCGUCUCAAAAAAAAAAAAAAAAAAAAAGAUUAGCCAGGCGCGGUGGUGGGUGCCUGUAAUCUCAGCUACCUGGAGGCUGAGGCAGGAGCAUCACUUGAACCUGGGAGGCAGAGGUUGCAGUGAGCCAAUAUCGCCCCCCAUUGCAGCCUGGGUAACAGAGCGAGACUCCUGUCUCAAAAAAAAAAAAGGCCAAGAAACUCAUGCAAAGAUGCUCAAUGUUAGCCGUCAGGGAAAUGAAAAAACCACAAAGAGAUGCCACUUCUUGCCCACCAGGAUAGCACUCAUCAAAAAGAUGCAGUAACAAGUGCUGGAAGCCACUGCUGGUGGGAAUGUAAAAUGGUGCAGCUGCUUUGGAAAAUAGUCUGGCAGUUUCUCAAGAAGUUAAACAUAGAGUUGCCAUUUGACCCAGAAAUCCCACUCAGAGAUAUAUACCCAAAACAACUGAAAACAUAUGUCCACACAAAAACUUGUGGGCAAAUGUUCAUAGCAGUAUUAUUCAUACUUAAUGUCCCUCAUCUGAUGAAUGUUUAAACAAAGUGUGGUCUAUCCACACUGGAAUAUGGGUCAGCCAUAAAAAGGAUGCUACAACAUGGAUGAAUCCUGAACAGGUUAAAUGAAGAAGCUAGUCACAAAAGACCACAUAGUGUAUGAUUCCAUUUCUAUGAAAUGUCCACAACAGGCAGAAAGCAGAUUAUUGGUUGCUGAGGGAGAGAGGAAUGUGGAGUGACUGCAAAUGGGUACAGGGUUUCUUUCUGAGGUAAUGAGAUGUUCUUUUUGUUGUUGUUUUUUGUUUUUUUGUUUGUAUGAGACGGAGUCCCUGUCGCCAGGCUGGGGUAUAGUGGCGCGAUCUCAGGGUGCAAUCUCGACUCACUGCAACCUCCACUUCCUGGGUUCAAGCGAUCCUCCUGCCUCAGUCUCUCAAGUAGCUGGGAAUACAGGUGCGCACCACCAUGCCCAGCUAAUUUUUUGUAGAGACAGGGUUUCACCAUGUUGGCCAGGAUGGUCUCGAUCUCUUGACCUCGUGAUUCACCUCCCUCAGCUUCCCAAAGUGAUGGGAUUACAACCGUGAGCCACUUCACCCGGCGAGAUGUUCUAACAUUGAUUGUGGUGAUGGUUGCAUGACUCUGGAUAUACUAAAACUGCUGUAUCGGACACUUCUCAUGGGUGAAUUGUAUGGCAUGUACUAUGAAUUAUAUCUCAAGGAAGCUGUUUGGAAAAUAGAGAUAAUUAAAUAACAGAAAGAAUGAGGAGGAAGAAGACACAGAAGAACACAUCAUUCAGGGUCUCCGCGUUUCUGUAGAUUUCGUUUCCUUUGCAUCCUUCAUUUGCCAGGGUGUUGGAGGAGAUGGCCUCCCUGCCAGGACUUGAGACUUCAGGCCUGGCUUUCCACACCCACACCUUUGCUAGGGUGCCAAGGCCAGUGUGGGUGCCCCACCCCGUUCCCACAAGGCCACCCCGAGGAGUCCUCAUCCCCAUGCUCCUGGUGGGUCACGUCCACACUUUACGGUUAUGUCAAUCCUAACUCCAGCCUUGCAGCCAGGGCACCCUCCCGGUCCAGAUGAACAAAUGGAGGCCAGGCUGGGAGCUUGUCAUCGCGAUAAGAUUAUCGAGGGGAAGUGUGAGCCAGGCCCUUUCCUGCCCAGCCGCCCCGCCCUUUCUUUACAUUCCCUUAGGAAUGCUUUUCACUCUGUCUAAGAAGCUUCCCGUGAGGCAUGGGCGGACGGCAGCAGCAGGCCUGGGACCAGUGUGAGGCCUCCCUCAAGGGGCCGCAGGCAUGUGGGAAGACCAGCUCGGGCAGAGCUCAGACCUAGGCUGAAGCAGGUCUCUGCCCAGGAGAGGAGAGGGCCUCCUGCCUAAGCUGGCCUCAAGAUUCCCCACUUUUGGGACCUCUCUUCCCAGGAUUGCCCAGGGGUGAGGCUCCCACCAGGCCACGCGACCCAGAUCAUGCCCCUUGGCCUUCACAGCUCAGCUCGCAGGCCCCCUUCUCCAGGAGCCCUUCUGAACCUCCUGACCGCCUCAGCCCCCUGUCCCAGGCCCUGGUGUCCCCACUCCUGGCACUGAUGACAGUUGUCAUGAGCCAUGCUUAGGGCUACUUGUGUUUCCCUCCCCCCUGCCCCCACCCCGAAUUGUAAGCUCUGCAAGAUAGGGUCUCACUCUUGUGUGUCUGGAAUCCCGUGCCCAGCACAGAGCCUGCCACGCAGCAAGGGCUGCUUCAGUCACCACUGCUGACUUUGUCUUGGGGUCAGGCUGGGACAUUUAAACCAGACCCCAGUAAGAGUGUAGAUAUAUUGGCAGGGAUAUAGAUAAUGAGCAGAGCACUGGCUUCCCAGCAGCCUCGCAGCAGACAGAUACCGGCUACACCAACAUUUAGACCCUCAGAGAAAAGGGUGUUCUUUUCUCUGUCUAGAAACUGCCUUCCAAGAGUGGUUUCCUGGGCUGGGCACAGUGGCUUACACCUGUAAUCCUAGCAUUUUGGGAGGCCGAGUCGGGCGGAUCAGUUGAGGUCAGGAGUUCGGGGUCAGCCUGGCCAACAUGGUAAAGCCCCGUCUCUACUAAAAAUACAAAAAUUAGCCAGGCGUGAUGGUGGGCGCCUGUCUUCCCAGCUACUCAGGAGGCUGAGGCAGGAGAAUCGCUUGAACCCGAGAGGGGGAGGUUGCAAUGAGCCUAGAUCGUGCCACUGUACUCCAGCCUGGCGGACAGAGCAAGACUCCAUCUCAAAAAAAAAAAAAGAAAGGUUUCCUGGCUGAGGACCUACCCCUUGUCCACAAGAGUGACAACUAGCCCUCCCGUCCCCCAGGAUCUUUCAGUAAAAGACAAACCAGGGAACUCUCCCUGGGACAGACAGACAGAUACGGAUGGCCCUAGUGGGCAGGGGUGGGACGUGGAAAGGCUUGCUGGCAUUCAGUCCUGCGGAUGGUCAGGCCUGGCCCAGCUAGAUGGGCCUCCAUUCACCUCUCGUUCACAGAUGAGAGACACAUGGGGCUUUUCCCCAGGACACUGCAAGUACUGGGCCUGUCAAGAGUGACACGAGGGUGCCCUGGGAGGUGGGAUACCUGGGCCGUACUCUUUCCUCUACCAGCUUAGAUACCACGACACCCUUCCAACUGCCAUCCCCUAAUGACAUGACAGCCAGAGAUCAUCUUUGAAACAAGGGCUGGAUCACUUCCUUCCUGGCUUACAACCCCCACCACCCCCCACCCCCACCCCCGGUCCCUACGGGGAUUUCCUGUGGGCCAAGGAUGAAAUUCCAAACACUCCACAGCUGGCCCCAGGCACAUGAGGCAUGGCCCUGCCUCCAGCUCCACUUCGACUCCUGGCCUCAUGUCUCCCCUCCCCUUCACACCCUGCACCUGCCUCAGGGCCUUUGCAUAAGAGCAACAACUAGCCCUCCCCUCCUCCAGGAUCUUUCAGUAAAAGACAAACCGGGGAACCCUCCCUGGAACAGACAGACAGAGAGAUGGAUGGCCCUAGGAGGCAGGGGUGUGACACGGAGAGGCCUGCUGGCAUUCGGCUGUUUCUAGGCCGGGAACACCUUUCCCCCAAUCUUCCCAGGCUUCCUCUGCCUUACCCCACCUACAUGUCACCUCCUCCAGGAGCCUUCUGACCAUCCCAUCCAUGGGAGGUCCCCACCCCUGCCCACUCCGGGGCUGUGCCUCAUUACCAGCCCUGUCUCAGCUGCAGCCCUGGGACUCUUGGUUCUUGUAUCUCUCUCCCUCCCCAGACCCCACCCCGCCCAGGACCUCUUGGUGUUGCCGUCCUGCUUGCACUGCUCCAGUGUUCAGCAGUGCCUGGUCUAGAGGAGAAUGUGUCUCAGAGUCUCCUCUGCUGCGCACACAUCUUGGGGCUCCUGGGAGUGACGCAGGGGAUAGCCGAAGACCCUCUUCUCCUCCAGCCAUCUCCCUCAAUUUCCCCUAGCAUCUGCCUUGCUGGCAGCCCCAUAUCAUGUCUCUCCCUGCACUGGCCUAGCACACGGAGGGGAGAAGGGAGUGCCUGCUUCAUGGACAUGGGUUUCCUGCUGGAACUUCACUGUGGAGAUGGUUGUGCAACAUCGUGAAUGUACUGUAUGUCCCUGAAUUGUACAUUUGAAAAUGAUUUAAAUGGCCAGGCGUGGUGGCUCACACAGCUUUGGGAGGCUGAGGCAAGAGGAUCGCUUGAGCCCAGGAGUUCUGGGCUGUAGUGCGCUAUGCCGAGAGGGUGUCCGCACUAACUUUGGCAUUAAUAUGGUGACUUCCGAGGAGCAGGGGACCACCAUGUUGCUUAAGGAGGGGUGAACCACCACCCCAGGUCGGAAAUGGAGCAGGUCAAAACUCCCAGGCUGAUCAGUAGCGGAAUUGUGCCUGUGAAUAGCCACUGCACUCCAGCCUGGGCAAUACAGCAAGACCCUGUCUCUCUUUUUUCUUUUCUUUUUUUUUUUUUUUGAGACGGAGUCUCACUGUCACCCAGGCUGGAAUGCAGUGGUGCAAUCUCGGCUCACUGCAACCUCCGCCCCCUGGGUUCAAGCAAUUCUCCUGCCUCAGCCUCCCGAGUAGUUGGGAUUACAGGGGUCUGCCACCUCACCCCUAAAAUGUAUGUAAAAAUACAAUACUAAUUAUUGUAUUUUUAGUAGAGUUGGGGUUUCACCAUCUUGACCAGGCUGGUCUUGAACUCCUGACCUUGUGA